rnacentral:rRNA from 1 species
UACGUAGGGCGCAAGCGUUGUCCGGAAUCAUUGGGCGUAAAGAGCUCGUAGGCGGCCUGUUGCGUCCGCUGUGAAAUCCCGGGGCUAAACCCCGGGCGUGCAGUGGAUACGGGCUGGCUGGAGGCAGGCAGGGGAGAACGGAAUUCCCGGUGUAGCGGUGAAAUGCGCAGAUAUCGGGAGGAACACCGGUGGCGAAGGCGACUUACUGGACACAUAUUGACGCUGAGGUGCGAAAGCGUGGGGAGCAAACAGG